rnacentral:rRNA from 1 species
UGGGGAAUAUUGGACAAUGGGCGCAAGCCUGAUCCAGCCAUGCCGCGUGAGUGAUGAAGGUCCUAGGGUUGUAAAGCUCUUUCCCCGGUGAAGAUAAUGACGGUAACCGGAGAAGAAGCCCCGGCUAACUUCGUGCCAGCAGCCGCGGUAAUACGAAGGGGGCUAGCGUUGUUCGGAUUUACUGGGCGUAAAGCGCACGUAGGCGGACUUUUAAGUCAGGGGUGAAAUCCCGGGGCUCAACCCCGGAACUGCCUUUGAUACUGGAAGUCUUGAGUAUGGUAGAGGUGAGGGGAAUUCCGAGUGUAGAGGUGAAAUUCGUAGAUAUUCGGAGGAAGACCAGUGGCGAAGGCGGCGAACUGGACCAUUACUGACGCUGAGGUGCGAAAGCGUGGGGAGCAAACAGG